GUGUUAUGGGGUGGUUAUCGAGGGGUAUGGGGUGGGUAUGGGGUGUUGUGGGGUGUUUUGGGGUGGUUUGGGUGCUAUGGGGUGUUAUGGGGUGUUAUGGGGUGAGAAUAGGGUGCUAUGGGGUGUUAUGGGGAGGUUUUGGGGUGGUAUGGGGUGUUAUGGGGUGGGUAUGGGGGGCUAUGGGGUAUUACGGGGUGUUAUGGGGUGAGAAUAGGGUGCUAUGGGGUGUUUUGGGGAGGUUAUGGGGUGCUAUGGGGUGCGAUGGGGUGGGUAUGGGGUGACCAUUGGUUGCUAUGGGAUGGCUAUGGGGCCGCUAUGGGGUAUGGGAAGGGGCAGCCUAUGGGGCAGCUCUAGGGUGUGCUAUGGCACACAUGGGGGGCGGCUAUGGGGCCACCCCACAGCACCGCAGAGCUGCCCCACACCCCACCCCAUAACACACCCCAAAGUCCACCCCAUUUCCCACACACCCCACCCUAUAGCCGCCCCAUAUCCCCCCAUAGCGCCCCACAGCGCCCCCUAGCGGCAGUCCUCCACUCCAUAGGUCUCAAUGCCCCACAGUGCCCCCUAGCGGCCACCUCCCACCCCAUAGGGCUGCAUUGUACCUCAUAGGGCUCAAUGACCCCACAGCGCCCCCUAGCGGCCACCGCCCACCCCAUAGGGCUGCAUUACACCCCAUAGGGCUCAAUGACCCCACAGCGCCCCCUAGUGGCGGUCCUCCGCCCUAUAGGUCCCAAUGCCCCACAGCGCCCCCUAGCGGCGGUCCUCCACCCCAUAGGGCUCAAUGACCCCACAGCGCCCCCUAGCGGCCACCUCCCACCCCAUAGGGCUGCACUGUACCCCAUAGGGCUCAAUGACCCCACAGCGCCCCCUAGCGGCCACCUCCCACCCCAUAGGGCUGCACUGCAC
rnacentral:lncRNA from 1 species